rnacentral:rRNA from 1 species
GGGUCAGUAGGUUGGUCGUGCCACCGGUACGUACUGGUCUCACUGAUUCCUCCUUCCUGAAGAACCGUAAUGCCAUUAAUUUGGUGUUGCGGGGAAACAGGACUGUUACUUUGAAAAAAUUAGAGGGUAUAACGCAAGCUAACGCUUGAAUACAUUAGCAUGGAAUAAUGAAAUAGGACGAUCGAUCCUAUUUUGUUGGUUUCCAGGAUUGACGUA